UACGUAGGGCGCAAGCGUUGUCCGGAAUUAUUGGGCGUAAAGAGCUCGUAGGCGGUUUGUCGCGUCUGCUGUGAAAACCGGAGGCUCAACCUCCGGCCUGCAGUGGGUACGGGCAAACUAGAGUGCGGUAGGGGAGAUUGGAAUUCCUGGUGUAGCGGUGGAAUGCGCAGAUAUCAGGAGGAACACCGAUGGCGAAGGCAGAUCUCUGGGCCGUAACUGACGCUGAGGAGCGAAAGCAUGGGGAGCGAACAGG
rnacentral:rRNA from 1 species